GUCACAGUCUACGACUCAUUCCUUGGCCCAUUUUCUCUCGAAUGGUAAUUGCUGCUCUUCUCCCAGUGGCCAUCCCUCAGUCCUUGCUCCCUGUCACCACCUGGAACAGUGCCUUGCUCAUCAGCAUGUGAAGGAGACGCCUCCCUGGGAGCGACAAGUGACCUUGGAAGUCAUCUACUCCAGUACCUCCUCAGACAUCAGAGGGGGUGUGAAUCAGAAUGUGAUCAUGUCAAGAGGAAGCUUUGGAUUCAGACGGUCCUGGCCCAGACCCUGCAUUUCUUACACGCCCCCCAGCGAUGCUGAUGCCGCUGAUCCCUGAACCAUACGUUAAGUGAAAAGAUUCGAGGCCAGCCAUUCUCAGCCCCUGCUCUACGUUACUUUCACUUGGUGAGCUUUUGAAAAAG
rnacentral:lncRNA from 1 species